UCUACAGUCAAAAGUUCCCUUAUGCAGAGCAAGCUAGGACACUGGCCCACCGCACUUGCGGAGCUGGGCUGCUCAUGCGUAACCGUUGCUGCCACCACUUCUUUCACGCCUGCAAACACUGACGCUUCUGCGUGUCACAACCUUUGCACAUGCGCAUUGGCAAGUUCACUAAUUUCCUCACUCCUUCCAAUCCUGGACAACCUUUGCUUGUUCGCUAUUGCGGCUCUUGGCUCGCACCUAUAAGUUCGCGCCUGGGGCUAGCCAAACGCAUGUACGAUUACACCAGGAGCUAGGAGCUUAAGUUGUUUCUCCCAAGUUCCGACUUGGUUUGAGUCUCAUCUAAUUAAUACAGGAGCUCACUAGGCCCCACCCGAAUAUACCAAAAAGUUUGGGAUCUUACAAAGAACUCGCUCGAAGUUUUAGAAUGCCCGAAACAAUAUUAAAGCUAAGAAUCACACCCCAAACCAAUUGAAUAAAAAAUAUGAACUUUAGGUUUUUCAAUUUACUCUCAAUGCGCUGAAACGUACUUAACUACUCAUAAUAACACCAAAUUUUAUGUGCAAGUCUAAAAUUACAUUACAGAACUAUUCAAGGUUUCGGAAUUAUAUUUGGACCUUGAUAACACAAAAACCUACUCCAAACCAAAUUUAAAGAACUUUAAAAUUCGAAGAACCAACUUUCACUAUUAGGCGCCAAAACGCUCUUGGGAAAUCUAAAAACCCGAUCCGAACACAUGCCCAAGUCUGAAAUCACCAUACGAACCUAUUGGAACCAUCAAUUUCUGAUUCCGGGGUCGUUUGCUAAAAAAUGUAGACCAAUGUCAAUCUUAGCCUUUUUAGCCAACCUUAUGGAACCAAGUGUUAUAAUUUCAACCCUAACCCUUUCAAAUCAUGAACGAACCAUUCCCCAAGUCACAAAAUAAUAAAAUCAUGUAUGAAAAGUCUUAUUUACGGGAACAUGGUUCUAACAAGCAUAACGACCAGUCGGGUCAUUACAUUCUCAACCUCUUAUCAAAUGUUUGUCCUCGAACGGGUCUAGAAUAAUACUUGGAGUGCUGAAUAAGUAUGGAUUUCUGCUCCGUAUGUCCUCCUCGGACUCCCUGUUUGCCCCUUCGAGUGGUUGAACCCUCCAGGGAAAUCCUCUUUGAUCUCUACUGGCUUACCUGCCUAUCAAAUAAUGGCUACUAGCUCCUCCUCAUAACCGAAGCUCUCAACUAACUGAAUCGUGCUGAAGUCCAGCACAUGUGACAAGUUGGCAUGAUACUCCUAGAUCAUAUGCACAUAGAAAACUGGAUGAACUCCCGAUAGACUAGGAGAUUAAGAAUGCACAUAAACAACCUCCCCAACUCGUCUUAACACCUCAAAUGGGCCUAUAAACCUUGUGCUCAACUCGCCAUUCUUCCUAACUCUCAUAAUCCCCUUCUUCGAUGAGACAUUCAAGAGAAAUUUUUCACCCCACCAUAAAUUAUAAAUGAUGCGCCUUCUAAUCCACAUAACACUUCUGUCUAGACUGUACUAUGCAUAGUCGUUCUUGAAUCAACUUUACCUUUAAGCAAGGCAUCCUUAACCAAAUGAGUACCAUAUAACUUAGCCUCACCGGCUCAAACCACCCGGGGGAAGAAUGACAUAACCUACCAUAUAAAGCGUCAAAUAGAGCCAUAUUGAUGCUGGACUAAUACUUGUUGUUAAAAGCAAACUUUGUUAAAGGUAAGAAUAGAUCCCGCUACCCUUCGAAGUCAAUUACCCAUUCUCUAAGCAUGUCCUCCAAGAUUUGAACGAUCCGCUCUGGCUGCUCGUUGGUACGUGGAUGAAAUGUUGUACUGAGCUCUACAUGAGUGUCACACCCAAAACCAUGGGGGCGAGACUGGCAGCCGGUACCUCACCUAUCAUUGCGUACCAACUUGUCUCUAGGUAAUGAUAUGAUAUGUCUACAAGCCUAUUCUGACGGUUGUACUAUGAUCGGAGUAGAGCCCCGACUUACCCACAAUAUAUAUAUAUACAUAUAUACAAAAGAUGUACAUAAAACUCUAGAUCUGACAACUCUGAAAGACGUGGAGCUUACCGUAAAUCUGAACUCGGGAAACAUCUCUGAGGAGGUCAACCCGUCUGUCUUUCUGAACCUGCACACAUGAAAUGUCGCGUCCCAUAAAGGGAUGUCAAUAUGAAAUAAUGUACUGUGUAUGUAAGGCAACAGAAUAACUGAAAGCCGAAACUGAACUGACAAUAUAUUAACUAAAAGUAACUGGGAGUCAAAGAUAAUAUGAAGAUAUGCCUACCUGCUUAUACUAACUCAACUUUUUCAAUAUAGUAAGUAAAUAAGUUGUCCGGCUUUUUAAGGCUCUGUCGUAGUGCGCUCGCUCAUAAGAGCUCGUCCAUACUAGGCUCUGUAUUUUGGCAAACUGAGCUUGCUCAUAGAUGCUCGGUCACAAUAGGCUCGGUAUAUAACUUACCCUCUGAUCUGAGGUUUUCUAAUAAGGGCCUGCCACCGAUUAUAGCACGAUGGUGGUAAAAGUAUUGUAAUUUUGUGUGUGUGUGUGUGUAUAUAGAUCUUUUACUCUCUUGAGUUGAAGAAGACAAUACUCAAUUGAAUAGAAAGUCCCGAUAAUGGAAAAUACUAUAACUUAUGAGAUAAAGAUAAUGUAUAUAAAUUUGGGAGUAUGAACUUAUCUUUAUGCCUCUUUAUCAAACAUAUUUAAUUCCGAGAACAUGCCAAAUAAAGGAAAGGUGUAGCAUUAUUAUACUUGAGCCGAUUCUCUUGACAAUUCCUCUAAAACACAUCAAGUAGUUGAAUAUCAGUAUGAUAUUUUUUAAAAAUAUUGCACCGUACUACCUUAAAAUUAUAAAAUACUAUUGCUAUUAUGUAAUAUAGUUUUGUAUGAAAUUUUUGUUGAAGCAGAGUCACGUCAAUCUAUCUCACGAAAAAGAAUCAUAAGAAAUCUUGUUUGGUCUUUCACUCAAAAGUGACUUGUUUACAAGAUAUAUGAAAUUCCUUACCUUUAAGAUUUGUGGGCCCCAUUUGUAGGGAUUAUUUAAUCCAAAAUUACUCUACAUAUGCCACCUAACUAUCAAGACCAAAUAGUCACAAUUACUUCAAGGCCUUGCUUCCGUAUUGGGAGAUUUAAUUCUUAUUCAAAUAUUUGAAUUAAUUAUAUAUUAGUCAUUUGAAUAACUUUUUAAUCUCCCAUUAACUAAUAAUUAACCAAUGAUCUAAAUAAUUAAUUAUUAUCUUCAAUUACUUAAAAUACUAUCCACCUUUAACCUACCUUAUACACAUUACUGUUAUGGUUAUGUGGUACCUUGUAUGGCACUAGUCCAUAAAUAUAAGGUAUUAUAGCUUGGACCGUAUUUUAUCCCAAAUUGCAAAACUCUGGCGAAAUUUAUUUUUUUCGAUUUUCUUACCCUCUAACCUUCACGAAUUUACUCAUCACUUGUUUGAAGUAGAAAAAUAAUUAUAAUAAUAUCAUUUUCAAACUUAUGUUAGUUAAUUUAUGACGAAACUUUAACGUAUAAAAAUGCAAGAUGUAACAUCUCAUUUCCAAGCUUAUAUCAAUUUACUUAUGGCAUACUUCCAUGUAUGAGAACAUGGGUGUAAUAUCAUUCCCCAUUUAGAACAUUUGUCCUCAAAUGUUGACUGAUGCACUUAUCAUUUUCAUAAGUUAUGUCUUCUGAAUACUUGAGUACUCUCCUUGCCAUCUAGGCCAAUGUUAUGUGAAUUAUUCCAAAGGCUUGGGCAUUCUCUCCCCCCCCCCCCUCGUUAGGCAUCUUUUUNNNNNNNNNNNNNNNNNNNNNNNNNNNNNNNNNNNNNNNNNNNNNNNNNNNNNNNNNNNNNNNNNNNNNNNNNNNNNNNNNNNNNNNNNNNNNNNNNNNNNNNNNNNNNNNNNNNNNNNNNNNNNNNNNNNNNNNNNNNNNNNNNNNNNNNNNNNNNNNNNNNNNNNNNNNNNNNNNNNNNNNNNNNNNNNNNNNNNNNNNNNNNNNNNNNNNNNNNNNNNNNNNNNNNNNNNNNNNNNNNNNNNNNNNNNNNNNNNNNNNNNNNNNNNNNNNNNNNNNNNNNNNNNNNNNNNNNNNNNNNNNNNNNNNNNNNNNNNNUUUUUCCAAAGGUUUGGCUUUCCUCCCCCCCCCCCCCCUCGUUAGGCAUCUUUUUCAUACCACGACUUAUAGUUGGAAUCCUUCUAAUCUCGUAAUUGUUGCUACCUUCUAUCAUGCAGCCUAUACGACACUGACCUUGUACAUGCGCCCAUGUAACUCUUUCUAGCUUCUGGCCAAUCUCUAGGCCUCACUUUGAUAACAUAUACAGAGCUUGAUAAAAUGUCCCUCUGGGCAUUUAUAGGUAUACUGAAGGUCUUUGUUCAGUACUUUGUCAAACUUACACAUGUUGCUAUACCUUAUUUCAUAGAUCCGUUUAUCCAUCCGUAUGACUUUACUGCAUGUAGGUAGUUUAUACUAUACCAUAACUCUUACUUUGAUUUAUAGUUACUGAGGCCUUCUACCAAUCUCCAGGUCACUCUCAUUGCUUAUCCUUAAGAUUGAUGGCUUAAUCUCACCUCAUACUUUGUAACUUUUAUCCAUCCAUUAUGGUUCACCUCAAUAUUGAUCUACAAUCUACCACUGAUAACUUGAAACUUCUUACUUAAUCACUAGGGAUGAUGUCUAAUUGGGGAACAUCUAAAAUGAUUAUACUGAUCCACCUAGGGGCAAUACCAUGCUUCCAUAACCGUGUUCAUAACUUCCCAAUAUAAUUCACCUUAUUUGGGUAUUUUAAUUUCUUAUAAUUCAUGAAUCCUUUCUUUCCUUUUUUUUUCAAAUCAUUAUUCAAUCGAAGGCCCAAACGUCAUCCUUUAUCUUUCACAAUUACACCCUCAUUCUACUACCAAAAUGCUAUUAGUAUUAGACUCAUUUAAGUUCGUUCAGGCUGUGCUGAGCUUUCUAUAACUUAAAGAAACCAUUAGCUCUCUUAUUUCCAUGGGCUUAAUCAUGAGGACUUAUCCAUUUCUCGUCACCCUUUCUUCCCCUUACUCAUAUCAUAAAACAUUGUCACUUUAAUAAACUUUAACUUGCGAUCUAUACAUGCCUAUUUAUACUACUCGCAACCUCCCUUCAAAUUGCUUGCACCAUAUCUCUUGGGAAGAUCUCUCGGUACCUAGAAGCCAGAGGCUGGAAGAUAUGCCACUGACGAUGCCACUAUCAUUCCUGGAUAUAGAAUCCCUAUGCUUCUAACCUUCUAUAUGAACUAUGAACUAUUCACAACUUUCUACACUUGAGUAUUUCACACGUUGUUUAACUUUACCUUAAAAUCUUGCAUCAUAUCUUCUAUCUCUUUCAUGGCCUCCCUUCCACAUAGGUAUAAUUCACAUCCAUAACUUGAAGCUCUUGUUAUAACACUUAUACCUUUGGUGCAUACACGAUCCGGUGAGAACUUCAUAUUGACUUCUUAUGAGGCUGGUACUUUUCUAACUAACGUUAUCGUAGAGCCAUUAUAGAAUAUGGCUACUGUACUAUCUCUCUUGUACCUCUUAUAUUAAGAGUGAUUCUGCAAUGUUCAAAAUUACGAUUUCUAUAAUUUUCUAUGUCCAAUAAUCAGACUCCUGACUUAAUGGUUGAUGUAACUCUUUAGUUUACUCUUCCUUCUAAUCAGUCUUCAUGUAGGCAUAAGCUAUUUUUCGAUCUACGGCUUCUAGUAUUAGUUAUUACUUUUGCCUUUCAUGGGCGCUAUGGAAUAUCUAUGAUACAAUCUUCAAACAAUCAAUCCUUCGUCUAAGCCCAGGGAUCAAUUAUUUCUUUUAACCUAUACUGGAGUAUUCUAAAACUAUGUGAAUGUCAGUAUAUAUGCUGCAUAGAUAAUAUUCCAAAAUCUUAAGCGCAUUCAUGACGUAACUACUCUGGAUCAUUUAUCGAAUAAUUCCUUUAGUUCCUUCUCAACUUUCUUCAAAUGUAAGUAAUUACUUUUCCUAGUCUUUCUGGCCCCUUGUUGCGUGCAUAUUUAUCUUAUCUUAGUUCCUGCGUUGCCGAAGUUUUCAUGCAACUUCAUAUGAUAUCGAAUAUUACUUUUGAUUUUCUUCCCAUUCAGUAGCCAAGGUAGGUUCAACUUUCUCAUGAAGUGUGUACAAUAUUAUUGUGAGACUAUUUUUACAUGACCCUUUCUCCUUCAAUUUACCAUAUUUAGGUUGAAGCCUUAUUCCUUAUUUCCUUCGCUGGUCUUUCAUUGUAGUAUUUAGGAAGGAGCUUCUGACUCUUGUAAAGUUGUGAUCUUAUUAUAUCGUAUCCGACAGAAUUUUUUAUGUCCUCCCUAGCCUAAAAUUAUCUGUAGUUACCUACCUCCACACCCCUGUGCUUGUAGGGUUGCUUCUGAACUAAAAUUUUGACAGUCUUCCAAGUGGCAUCCUCUUUUAUUUCUAUAACACUCAUACAAUACCUUUAACUUUCCCAAAUCUUAUUUGGAUAUACCUCAAGUAUUACAAUUUCAUAUCUGCGAGACUGAAUUCCCCAGGUCGGGGUUCACUAUAUUUAUAUUGCACGAUCUUUUGAUUUGUUUGUAUCAUCUGUCUAGCCAUAACUAGGCUCUUCCUAAAUUAACUACUAACUACUCAUUGGUCCAUUCUCAUAUCAAUAUUCCAUGUAAUCUUUCUUGGGUUAUUUUCUUUGUCUUAACUUACGUCUCCUACAGGCUCCUUAUUUAUCAAUAACACUCGGGAAGGAACCCGUACUUCCUCUCCUUGACAUCGUGUUUUCAUAAUGUUCUGGAAUCAUAGCAUAUCUGUAGGUUUUGGAUAAGUGCAAUUUCUUCCCUUUCUCAUUUUUAUCCCAAUACUCCAUAGUUACUAAAACUAUUUAAUUCUGACUUAAUAUAACAUCACUCCAUAUUCCACCCUUUAGGGGAGUACUAAGAGUUGGAUCUUCAACAAUCUACUUACAGAUGAUUUACCGCUUCAUUUUUGGCAUUUUGCCACAUCACCAAUGACCCUUACUCUCCUUGCGGUAAUCCUUCUUUACAAAGGAUAACGAAAUUCUUUACUUGCGAAGGGUGAUAAUUACUAUAACUGGCACAUACAGUCUCGUAUGAUUAACUUUACAGUCCUUUAAGAUUAAUUUUUCUCAUAUUGUUUGCUUUAGGAAAGUGUCUUCCUGGAUGACCAUUCUCCGAAAUUCUCGUGAAUCUUCUUCUGUGUCUAUUCUGUUAUCGCCGGAAUGAAAUCUAAAAUUCUCAUAAUGUCGACCAUUAUCAAAUCAUGUAGUCAUUUAUUCAUGUUUAGUUUAUCUUGUUCACCAGCCCAUAUUGUUAUUUUGGGGUCUAACCUUUCCUUCUAGUAGUUGUGUUAGAGUCAGGAACUUAUUACUCGAAAUGAGGAUAUGACUUUAUGGCCUAUUCUCUUUUGUUGUCUCAAGUCCUGUCACCUCUCAUAAUUUCCUUCACUUGACGAUAGACCCUCUAAUAUUGCUUUUUUUUAUCUACCGUUGACAUCUAUAUAUCACAUCUUACUCAUAAUGCUUUAUUAUUUCCCGCUAACAUUUAUGUCUAUCACUUUAUCCUGAAAACUCGAACAAGACAUUAUUUUUCUUUUAGCUCCCUUUGUUCUAUUCAUUGGCUCUUUGGAUUGCCUAACAUUCUCUCUCUACUAGGGAGGGGAGCCACACUAAGCUAAUAUUUAUCCCUUAUAGACUUCUAGUGCCUAUCUUUGUAAAAAAAAAAAUUGAACAUUGUUGUAGUCAUAUCUAGUUGUAGUAUUCUAGAGGGCACCAUCUGGGUGUCUCGCAAGAAGAUUUAUUCGCACAUUUACAAUAUCCUUCAGAAAUGUCAACUAACAAAUACAAUCCACCCAUCAUUUUGGGUUAUUCUAACCCUAGCCAGAUCCUGAUAUUCGUCCUUUUCUUAUACUACUUCUAUUAGCUCGCAUAGGGUAUAAAUAAGAUAGUGUGGCCAAUUGUACAUACCUCUGUUAUUGUUGAAGGUAACACAAAAGGCUUAUAUUCAUCUGCCUGAACUGUAAAUAUUGAUAAUGUUCAUCAAUUUGGCACCUCGUGCCUUUCUUCACCUUGCUUCUUUUACUUGUUGAAACUUUUAUCUAUCUUAUGAAUCUCUCACCGCCUUCCACUAUCAGGGUGGAUAGAUAUUCUUGUCGUCAGGCUCCUUAUUAAGGGCUUAUACGUCUUAGUACACAUAUGAUCUACUGAAAACUUUACAUUUACUCAUCGUAAACAUCAUGAAGUAUUUAGUUCCUCUCAGUCAACUCUUCCAUAGUCAUAUUCAAUCUCUUACCAACUGUAGCUAUCGUCUUUUUAUGAAUGAAAUAGAAACUACGAGUUUGAAUUCUUAUAAGAGAGCUCUACCACACGAUCUAGAGUAAGAAGACAGAGUGAUAGUCCUAAAUUUCAUAUAGCCUCCUGCUUAUAAGUGUUGUGCACUACACACCCAUAAACAAGACUCUACUAGACACGACUUGUAGGCUCCCUGGGACAAAAUUGCUCUGAUACUACAUUUGUCGCGCCCCGUACCUGGGGGGCUAGACCAGCAGCUCGUGCCUCACCAAUCGUUGCGUACCAACUUACGACUAAGGAACUCUGAACAUAUAAUGUCAUACAUUGGCCAUGGGCCACAUUGCAAGACAAUUUGCGAAUGCUAACUAAACAUCAACAUAAAUCUAAGCCGACAAGGUUGUCAUAACUACUACAGCUGACAAACUAAUAAAAUAUACAUAUAUGGCCUACAAGCCCAACAUACUGCACUAAUUGACGAGAUAUGUUUACAAGCCUUUAUUGAUGGAUGUACUGUGAUCGGAGUAGAGCUCUGAUCUACCCAUAACAUAUAUAUACAUAUAUACACAAGAAGUACAUAAAACUCUAGACCCGACAACUCCGAAGGACGUGGAGCUUACCGAUAAAGCUGAAUUUGGGAAACACUUACUGAGGAGGCCUACCCAUCUAUCUGUCUGAACCUGUACGCAUGAAAUGCAACGUCCAAUAAAAAAAGGGAUGCCAGUACUAAAUAAUGUACUAAGUAGGUAAGGUAAUAGAAUAAUUGAAAGUUGAAACUAAAAUGAUAAUAUAAUAAUUGAAAGCAACUGGGAGUCAGAGAUAAUAUGAAGAUAUGCUUACCUGCUGAUACUCACUCAACUCUCUCAAUAUAGUAAGUAAGAUAGCUUUCCAGCCCUAUAAGGCUCGGUAUGUAUAACUGCUUUACAGUAGUAGGCUCGCUAAUAGACGUUGGCCAGACUAGGCUUUAUAUCUCGGCCAAUUAGGCUCGUUCAUAGGCGCUCGACCAUAGUAGGCUCGGCAUAUAACUUACCAUCUGAUCAGAGGUUGACCAAUAGGGGCCUGCCCUUGGUGGUAAUAUAUAUAUGCACACACACAAACACACACAUUGCUCUCUUUAUUGGAAGAAGACAUUACUCAAUUGAAUAGAAAUUACCUAUAUGGGACAAUAUUGUAACUUACGAGACUAGCAUAUUAUAUAUAAAUUCGGGAGUAUGAACUUCUCUUUGUGACUCAUUAUCAGACAUAUGUAUAUACAAUAUUAUGCCAAAAUGAAGGAAAGGUUUAGCCUUAACAUACCCGAGCCGAUUCUCUUUACAAUCCCACUAACACACGUCAACUGCGAUAACACGUAACGACAGAUCGAAGAAGGAGAAUUAUCCGUAUGAUAUUCUUGAGAAAGAUUGUAUUGUACUCCCUUAGAAUCGCAAAAUCGCGUUUUAAUUAUGCAAUAUAAUUUCACAUAAAAUUUUUGUUGAAGUAGAGUCACGUCAAUCCAUCUCACUUUGUAAAAGAGUCAUAUGAAAUCUUGUUUAGUCUUUCACCUGUAAGUAACUCAUUUACAAGAUAUAUGAAAUCCCUUAACUUUGAGAUUUAUGGGCCCCACUUUUGUCACGACCCAAAAUCCUCUAAGUGUCGUGGUGGUGCUGAACACAGCUGUUAGGCAAGCCAACUGAAAUGCUUAAUUCAAUUCUAACUUUAAUAUUUGCUCAAGUCAUUUUCCUUUAUACGUUAAAUAACAAAUAAUGAACUAUGCAGAAAUAACCAUGGGGUCUUUAACAUACUUAAUAUUGAAAAAUCCUAUGACCAUCCCAGAACCUGGUGUCACAAGUGCAUGAGCGUAUACUAUGAAGGAAAUAAAAAUAUAACAUCCGUCCAGAAUACAAUGGACAAAAAGUAAAUACAAUAUACUGGAAGGGAUUAUACUAGCUGAGGGCCGCCUCGCAUAAUGCAACUCACCUAGUUUCUGAAUCAUCCAUGCUGCUACGCCCAAUAGGCCUCUAGAAACACAUGAACCUAUGCAACAAAAAAUGCACAGAAGUGUAGUAUGAGUACGAAAACAACGUGUACCCAAUGUGUAUCCCGUCAAAUCUCGAAGAGGUAGAGACGAGAGGUCAAAUUCGACACUUACUAAGGGUCCAGUACUAUGAUGUCAGUAAUACAUUAAAUCAUGGAUUUCAAUAAACAUGAUUUUUAACCAAUAGAAAGAAACAAGUAAACAAUUAUUUCUUUAAUAAUAUUUCCAAAAUUCCUUUUUCAUUAUUUUUCCAAAUAAUCUCAAGCCAUGAAGAGGCAAUAACAACAUUAAUAAGUUCAAGGCAGCAAUACAAGCAUGCGCAAAUCAUGCCGAGGUCGACGGCCCGCUCCAACACAAAAUAAACUGUGCACUGCCGAGGGUUGACGGCACCAAUCAUAGAUACAUCUAUUUAAUCCGCCUAGGCGUUCGGCCCGCUCCAACAGGAAAUAAACACACAGGGAAUCAAUCAAGAAGUCAUCAUGGAAAAAUUUUCCGAAGAAAAAACAAUUCUCAUUAAUAAUUUAAGAAAGUGAAGUUUAAAUCCUCUUAGAAAUUCGUUUACUAAUUCAAUGUGAUUUAAGCAAGUAAAGUUGUCAAUAAGUUUACAAUUAAUCCAAGUAAAGCAUGCUUUUUGGUCCUAACUACUCGGACAAUGGCAUAAUAGUAGCUACGCACGGACUCUUAUCACCUCGUGCAUACGUAGCCCCCACAAUUAGGAGCGCAUAACCGAUUAUUUCACCUAUGGGACAAUUCCCUCUUACAAGGUUAGAAAGGAGACUCACCUCGCUCCGAAGUUUCAUAACCGACAUUCCACGCACUUUCGAAGACUCAAAUCGAUGCAAAAAUGCUCUAAAACUAGCCAAUAAUUAUAAAAAUUAAUUAAUAUAUGCUAAGGUACUCAUUGUAAUCCAAUUUAUUACAAUUCCAACCCCGAUCGAAAAGUUGACAAAAUCGCCCUCAGUCCCACGUGCCCGUAUUUCCAAAAUUUUUGAAGAAUAAGUUUACCCAUAACCUCAUGAACUCAAAUAUUCGAUUUACUCUUAAUUUCAUGCCCAACCGUGGUCAAAUUUCAAGAACAUCAAUUUUCUAGGUUUUCAUCUAAACCCCUUGAUUUUCCUUAAUUUUUACAUAUUUAUCUACCCAUAAUUUAUGUAUUUAACUUAAGAUGCGUAGAAAUUACUUACCUCUUUGAUAAUGACGUAAUCCCUCCUCAAAUGCUCUCAAAAAUCGCCCAAGGAAAAGUGGGAAAUGAGGAAAAUGGGCUAAGUUUCGAAUUUAAUAACUCGACACAGCCCUUAGAUGUCGCAUUUGCAAUACCUGGUUCGCAAAUGCGACAGUCGCAAAUGCGAAAAAACAAUCAGAAUUGCGAACGUGGGCCUCCCUUUCCAAGGUCGCAGACCAAGAGCUCGAAAAUGCGAACACUGCCUUAGGCCAGGGUCCUUCGCAAAUGCGAAUCCUAACUUGCAAAUGCAAGAUCACAAAUGCGAACCAUUUCUCGCAUUUGCGAGGCUUGCAAUUGCUGCCAAAAAAUACCAGAAAACAUGGGGUGCUCCAACUCCUCCCGCAAAUCCGAAACUCACCUGAGGCCCCCCGGACCCUGUCUAAUCACACCAACCCACUCCAUAACAUAACAUUGACCUGCUUGAGGCCUCAAAUCAUACUAAACAACGCUAAAAUUAUGAAUCAACCUCCAAUUCAAGCUUUAUCAACUUUAGAAUUUCAAACAUCUACUUUCGAUGCCGAAACCUAUCAAAUGACAACCGAUUGACUUCAAAUUUUACACACAAGUCAUAUUUGACAUUACGGACGUACUACAACUUCCGGAAAUGGAUUCCGACCCUGAUAUCAAAAAUUCCACUUUCGGUGAAACUUCUCAAAAACCAUCAAAUUUCUAUCUUUAUCCAAAUGGCUCCAAAAUGACCUACGGACCUAUGAAUUCACUUCCGACCGCCCUCCCAACUCAAGAACUUCAACACGGAGCUGUUCCCAUACUAGAAAUCCCAAACGGACAUCGAUAUCACUGAAAUGCACUUCAACCCAAACUUAUGAAAUUUCUUUCAAUAUGCUACUUUCCACAAUAGGUGCAAAAAUGUUUCCGGGUCAUCAAAAACCCUAUCCAGGCAUACGCUCAAGUCUGAACUCAUCAUACGAACCCACUGGAACUUUCAUAUCCCAAUUCUGAUGUCGUUUACUCAAAAGUCCAAUCCUAGCUAAUUCUUUCAACUUUAAGCUUCUGAAAUGAGAAUUCUCUUUCCAAAUCAACUCUGAACAUCCCGAAACUUAACUCCAACCAUGCGUACAAGUCUUAAUUCCUGAAAUGAAGCUGUUCAUGGCCUCAAAUUGCUGAACAAUGUGCUAAAGCUCAAAACAACCGGUCUGGUCGUUAUAUUCUCUCCCAUUUAAACAUAUGAUCAUCCUCGAACGUGCUGAGAACUACACUAAAGUAGUUUGAAAUAACUAUUUAACCUCUCAUGCACCUGCGCUACCAUAACUUAGUUGAGCACAUCAGCUCGAUCAAUUCUGAAGAUAUUCCCUUUUAUUCAAACAAAUAAGCCUUAGAGCCCAAUUCCAACAUCCGGAAUUCUACGCUCGGCCUGCUUCCAACAUAUGAUCACUAUAUCCAUCACUACACAUUGUUCCCAAGCAUGACUGCACCACUUUGCUGAAUUCACACCUUGCAUCACUUUAAUCACCGUACCACAAUAACACUUUCUGAUCAAUUUAGUCAAAAUUCCACGAAUAUGGUGCUCCCAUUGCACCUUAUGACAUACAUAGGUCUUGCUCUAAUUCUUACAGGGCCGCCUUGAUGGAAGAGAUGUGUAGAAAUUCAUAACCGACGAUCGAAUCAGCAAAUCAUUAGGUCUAUACUCCUGACAAGAACCAUCACCUCAUUCUGAACCAAAUAAUGGACUUAGCUCCUUAAUAUACUUCACAUAAUCAGAUUGCACUGAUCCUAACUCCAAUAAUCUCGUCUCACCCAGUAUGAACUACUCAGGCAGUAAGCCAUCCUGUACAUGAUCAAAAUUCUCAUACAAUGCUACAAUGUGCCAAUAGGCUACCAAUUAGAAUGCCAUACAAAAAGGAAAAUAAACUCUAAAAAGGAAUUUUAGUUACCCCGCUCGAUAAUUAUACAUGUGAUGCGGGCGCACAGCUAAUAUUCUUUCAAAAAAUAGAAAAAUAGAACAGAAUAAAAAGAUAUGGGAAACUGCACUAAACAUCACACUAUUGCGGCGUGCAACCCGAUCCGAGUAAUUAUAACCAUGGCGGCGUGCCACCCGAUCCAAAUAGCAUACCCAUGGUGUCGUGCCACCCCAUCCACACAUGGAACUCAUAUAAAGAGAUGAACAUUGAGCUAAACUACUCAUUACAACAAAAUAGUGAAUAUCAGUCAUAAACACGCUAAGUGGAUAAUACUAUUCCUUGGAGAAACAUAUAAUGCUAUAAUCAACAAAAUCGAGCACAACUGAAGAUAUAUGAUCUGAAUCUCAAGAGCCAUCCUGCUCAUAUAACUGCAUCUCUAUGCGGAACCUCAACACAUAAGAAAUUCACCAAGCCGUCUCACAACUCGCACGACGCAAUACAUCAUUACAUGAAAUAGCUGACAAUGAAAUAACACCCAGACUCCCUUCCAUAAGGAGCGUAUUGCUGGGAAACACAUCUGGCCUGUUAUAAAGCCCCUGUUCACAUUUAAAUCAAUCCACUGAUCUCGAGCCAAUUUUGGAUUGCACCAAUUAGGCUAAUAACCUUUCAAAGGUCCAUAAUAACUCACCUUUAUGAUCACCAUAGAAGAGAUUUCCUCAGCUACAAACUGCUUCUCUUCACCCUUGUAGUUCACAACAAUCAUUGGCUUAUCACCAGGUCCAGGAAUGACCUUAAAUGGCCAAUGCUUAAUGUCAGACUGCACCAUGGCAUCAGCAAAUCUCCUACCAAUCAACCUUUUCUCAUCAAAGACAGUGUUGAUUGGGUUCAUAGCGACCUAAUUCUUAGCGGCAUCACCAAUGAGACGCUCAGUAUCUAUUUCAUCCGGAGAUAGAAAUAGACUCAACGGAAGUAAUAAACACUAUCAACGAUGGUCAUUUCAAUAGCAUUAUGAACGCUCUCGGUGCAACUUAGCAAACCAAUAGAACGGUGAACUUUUUGGCGCACAAUAGCACGGUGCGAUUGUCGCCGGAAAUGGCCAGACGACGGCGAAAUGUUGCUCCGACUGUUACCUUUGCACCUCCUCAACUUGUUACACCUGCUCAUGGUAUUAGCAUGACGCUUGAACCCCUAACAUUUGGUAACUUCCUCCCACAGAAGUACCAAUCGAAGGAAAUUUCACAUGCAGAGGUUGAAGAAGCAGCUAAUACUCGUUCGAAGGGAAAUGAAGAGAUGAUUGAGUCAACUGCGAGGAGAUUAAAAUUUUCUUAAGUAAUUGAACCUGCAAAAUCAGUACAAACAACUGCUGAAGUUGUCAGAGGAAAUAGAGAUGCACAGAUGGGUAAGACUCUUUCAUUCAUGCCUCCGAUUGAAAGAAAUGGACAAAAAGUGGUUCAACUCAGUGCUGAAGAUCUACAAUCACAGGUAGAUUAUUGGGCAAAUGCUUUAAUAGGAUAUGUUAUAGGUGAUAAUCCAAAUGUUAAAUCAAUUGAGAACUUUGUGUUGCAUGCUUGGAACUUUGUAUCCAAGCCUCAGAUCCUGUUGCAUGCUGAGGGAUACUGUAUUUUUAGAUUCAAUAGCAAGGAGGAUAGAGAACUUUGAGUUAAAUGCUUAGAACUUUGUAUCCAAGCCUCAUAUCCUGUUGCAUGCUGAGGGAAACUGUAUUUUUAGAUUCAAUAGCAAGGAGGAUAAGGAGAUGGUGAUAUAAUCUGGACCAUACUCGUACAGGAAUAAGCCUAUGGUACUGAAACCAUGGGAGAUUGACUUCUCUUUUCAAAAUGUUGUGCUCAGCACUGUUCCUGUAUGGAUCAGAUUCCCAGGCCUCCCAGUGGGCUAUUGGUCAGUGGAUGUCUUGAGCAAAUUGGCCAGUGCAGUGGGUAAACCACUGUACACAGAUAAAAAUGGAUCAGAUUCCCAUGCCUCCCGGUGGGCUAUUGGUCAGUGGACGUCUUGAGCAAAUUGGCCAGUGCAGUGGGUAAAUCACUGUACACAGAUAAAUUCACAGCACACUUUGAGAAAAUCUCAUUUGCAAGAGUUUUAAUAGAAGUUGAUGCUGCCUAUCCCUUGCCUGAUGAGAUUGAAAUUGAAACACCGUAUGGUAUGAAAGUGCAACAAAUAGAGUAUGACUGGAGGCCAAGCUUUUGCAACAAUUGUCUUAAGUUUGGACAUGAUGCAAUUGAGUGCUGGCACAAUAUCAAAAAUGAUGCAGAAUUCGAAAGGGAUGAACAGGUGAAAGUGGAAAAGAAAAGAACUAGGAGACCAAGACAAUACCCAAGGCAAGAGUGGAUACCAAAAGCCACUGCAGAUGUAGCAGAUACUGGGGCAGAUAAAAUUGUUACUGAAACCAAUCAAGUGGAGGUAAAUUCAAGUGGACAUACUGAAGAUAUGAAGAUGGUGAAUACUACUGGACCUCAGCAGAUAUUAGAUGAACAUAGCAGGAUCACAGCAGCUUCAGGGGAUCUUCCUGUAACCAGUAAGGACAUAAAUGCAAUUGCAGAAAAAGGAAAGGCUGUGGAAACUAUUAUGGCUGAUGAUAGAAGGGGAUUCCAAGUGGAUCCAGGACCUUCUUGGAGUAUUAGAUCUAAUACUUCAUGAUUGUUACUACUUGGAAUAUUAGAGGGCUUAAUCAAGCCCAUAAACAGGAGGAACUCAAAAGCUUCCUGUCUGUAAAUAAAGUAGACAUUAUUGGAGUUCUUGAAACUAGAGUAAAGGAGCAUAAAGCAAAAAGAAUACUGGCAAGAGUGGCUAAAGGAUGGAAGGUUCAAUGUAACUAUACUAAGGCUGUCAAUGGUAGGAUAUGGUUACUAUGGAUACCUCAUAUUCAAGUAACCUUAUCUACUGUGACUGAUCAAUUCAUUCAAUGUAUGAUGGAGGAUACACAAGCUUCAAAUAGAUUCCAUUGGAGUGUAGUAUAUGCUCAUAAUACUGCAGGCAAUAGGGAAAGACUAUUGUGUGAUUUAAAGGCAGAAAGUAUUCCCAGUCAGGAUCCUUGGUUGCUCAGUGGGGAUUUCAAUACUAUGCUGAAUUUUGAAGAUAGAAUUGGAUCUCCUGUCACUGAUGCUGAAAUCAAGGAUUUCAAAGAGGCUGUANNNNNNNNNNNNNNNNNNNNNNNNNNNNNNNNNNNNNNNNNNNNNNNNNNCUGAUGCUGAAACCAAGGAUUUCAAAGAGGCUGUAGAUGUAAUUAAACUCACUCCUCUCAGAGCUAAAGGAUGGUAUUAUACUUGGCCAAACAAGCAGGAUGCUAAUACAAGAGUGUAUAGUAAAGUUGACUGGGCACUUGGUAACUUUCAAUGGGUCCAACAGUAUGGGCACCUUGAGGCAGAAUACUUGAACCCUUAUGUAUCUGAUCAUUCUCCUAUACUUAUCAAAUUUGGCAGUCAAAGGCUAUUACAUCCUAAGCCAUUCAGAUUCAAUAAUAUAGUUAUGGAGGAGCCUCAGUUCAAAACCUAUUCUGAAAAAGGUAUGGGCACAGCAAUGUGAAGGACUUCCUAUGCAGAAGGUAUGGACUAAGCUGAAAAUAUUGAAGCAACAACUGAAAGAUAUCAAUAGACAGAUGGCAGCCUAUAAGCAGAAACUUGUACAAGCAAAAGAAACAUUGGAGAUUGUUCAAAGCCAAAUGCAGCAGGAUCCUUUUGCACAGAAUCUACUCAUUGCUGAGAGGAAUGCACUGUCUGAAAUUGAAAAAUGGAGCAAGGUGGAGGAACAGAUUAUGAGACAGAAAUCCAAAGCUAACUGGAUUGAAUGUGGAGAUGCCAACACAAAGUAUUUUCAUGCUCAAUGGAAGAUCAGAACCAGCCAGAAUAACAUCAGCUCUAUAUAUACUGAACUAGGUGACAAGCUGAUAGAGCCAUUAGCUGUGGAGCGGGAAAAGAUCAGAUCCAGCCAGAAUAACAUCAGCUCUAUAUAUACUGAGCUAGGUGACAAGCUGACAGAGCCAUUAGCUGUGGAGCAGGAAUUUAUCCUAGUAUUCAAAUCACUGAUGGGGGAGUGUGCUGAGGAAAUUCCUUGUAUUAACACUGCUGUUAUGAAAGAAGGUACUUGCCUCACUGCAGUACAACAGAGAGAAUUAAUACAAGAAGUCACAGUGGAGGAGAUUGUAGAAGCUAUAAAGGAGAUGCCAACAGAUAAAGCCCCUGGUGUGGAUGGUUUUCCUGUGGAAUUCUUCAAAAGAAACUGGGAGAUAGUGCAAGAGGACAUAGUUGCUGCUACUAUGGAUUUCUUUACUACUUGCAAUAUGCCUAGUAUGAUAAAUACUACAGCAAUUGCACUGGUGCCUAAGAAUGCUAAUCCUACCACUGUCAAAGAUUAUAGGCCUGUUGCCUGUUGUACAACAGUAUACAAAAUCAUUGCCAAGAUAAUUACAAAGAGAAUGAAGACUGUAAUUGGCAAUAUAGUUGGCCAGUCCCAAUCAGCAUUUAUUGAAGGAAGGAGUAUCAUUGAUAAUAUCCUACUCAGUCAUGAAAUUUUCAAGGGAUAUACAAGGAAAGGUGUGUCUCCUAGAUGUGUCCUUAAGGUGGAAAAGAAGGCAUAUGAUACUUUAGAAUGGGGCUUUCUUCAACAGGUUCUUAUUGAUAUUGUAUUUCCUGCAAAGUUCCUCAACUAGAUUAUGGCAUGUGUUUCUACUGUUUUAUAUUCCUUGAUGCUAAAUGGAGGAUUCACUAAACCUUUCAAGGCUAGGAGAGGGAUUAGGCAAGGGGAUCCUAUGUCCCCCUACUUAUUUGUGAUUGCAAUGGAGUAUCUUAACAGACUGCUGCAACAACUUCAUAGGAAUGGAGAUUUUAAUUUCCAUCCUAAAUGCAGAAAGUUAAACAUGAACUUAUGGAACAAUUGGGGUUCAGUGAAGGAGAGUUUCCUUCUAAGUACCUUGGAAUUCCUCUGAGCUCAAAGAAACUUGCUAUACAUCAAUAUUCUACUCUGAUUGAGAAAAUAACUGCUAGAGUCACAUGUUGGUCUGCCAAAAUGUUAUCCUAUGCAGGAAGAUGCCAAUUGAUAAAAGCAGUGAUAUUUGGCAUCCAGACAUACUGGGCACAUAUUUUUAUCAUACCAAAGAAGGUCCUAAAGGUUAUUGAGGCAAUCUGCAGGUCCUUCAUAUGGACAGGUAGUGCCUCUAUAUCUAAAAGAGCUUUGGUUGCAUGGGAGAGAAUAUGUAGACCUAUAUCUGCUGGGGGUCUAAACAUCAUAGAUAUGGCUACCUAGAAUAAGGCAGCCAUAACAAAACUGCUUUGGGACAUUGCUAGGAAAAAGACUGCCUAUAGAUCAAAUGGCUCCAGUGCUACUACAUAAAACAGAAUGAUAUCAGAUAUGUGCCUCUGCCAAAAAUUGCUUUCUGGAUCAUUAGGAAAAUAUUGGAUUGUAGGACUGAAGUCAUGGAGAACCAACAAUUGCAAGGNNNNNNNNNNNNNNNNNNNNNNNNNNNNNNNNNNNNNNNNNNNNNNNNNNNNNNNNNNNNNNNNNNNNNNNNNNNNNNNNNNNNNNNNNNNNNNNNNNNNNNNNAAGUCAUUGUGUAAGCUGGACAAAUUUCAAAUUCACCAGUUAUACCUUGCUAUGCUUCCUAAUUAUAGUAAGGUUGAUUGGAGGAAUGUGAUGCUCACUGUAAAUGUACAGCCAAGACAUAGGUUUACAGUGUGGCUAGCAGCCCAGCACAGAUUACCUACCAUUGAAAUAUUGCACAAGAUAAGAGUUGAUAUACCUACUACAUGUGCUUUCUGUAAAACACAAGAUGAAAGAUUUGAACACCUUUUCUUUGCAUGUCCAGUCACUAACAGAUUAUGGCUUAGAAUCUGUCACUGGAUGGGAUACCAGCGAGCAGUUAACACUUGGGAGGAUGAGCUGCAGUGGAUAUGCAGCAAGGCUAAAAGUAAAAACUGGCAGCAGGCAAUCACUGCAACUGCUUUUGUUACUACUGUUGCAUUGAUAUGGAGGAACAGGAACUCGAUCAGAUUGGAUAACAAGACUUUUGAUGAAGAUCAAUUUUGCAAAGAAGUGGCAGUGUUAAUACAUACAAGAUGUAGGAAAUGUAAAAGGUGCCAGGAAGGGCUACAUAAACUCAACUGCUAUCCUUAGUUUUGAUUAAUAGCUACAUGUUAGUAUUGUCUAUAUGAGAUUGUGUAGUUAGAGUUUAAAUGUACAUGAGUAGUAGGAGCCCAUACUACUACCAUAUGAAUACAUUGUACAUAUCUUUUGAAGUCAAUGAAAUCUACAGUUUAAUGUAAAAAAAAAAAUUUGUAGCUAGGGUUUGAGUUUUACCUGUAGUUUUCUCCUCUAUUUCCACCUGGCCUUCCCAUGACAAAAAAAAUAACUCACCUUUUCUCAUAGCACAUAAGAACAACCCUCAUAACCGGAGCGAACCUCCACAGUCCAUAAACCAAUAAACAGAGCGCCAUCCAAGCAUAAAUACUCAAAUUAAUGAUAUUACCACAAUCCUCGUACUUGGUUUAAAUCUUUAAUCAAUCAAGUGACUCCAUGUCACACUUAUACAAUCUUCUUGUGGGACACGCUCCCAAAACCAUCCGAAAUGAAUAACGGGUCCGCAUAUCCAAACCACACGUCACACUAAUGCUGAAAAGCGAUCAAGAAUCCUUAACCAGGAUGCAAAGCCUUUUUUCACAAAAUAACAAUCUCUUGUGAUACUGACGAAAAUACAACCUCACUUUAAACAUCGAAACUCCUUUCAUGCUAAUUCGAGCUUGUAACAUCCUUGUCAGCACCGAACUGCAACCUUGAUCCUCACUUCAAAUUCCAUACCCCUCACUGCACCCAACGUGCCAAUAUACGAUAGAACUCAUUCUUCAUCAUAGCUUCGGACGCCUGGUAGAUUAACACUUCAUCAUGUAAAACUUUCCACUUAACUCGCUUCAGGAGGACAUAGCAACACACAGGUGAAUUCUCAUGACCCUAGAAUAUGCAAAUCUCUAAGUAGUGGUAUAAACCACCAUAGCCCUUCCGGGAUCCACCUCUAUAUAAUAGGCCACAAUGGUAUAAUAAUUUAUGAAUAACACUAACUACAGCGGACGACAAGCGUCGCACGCGCCGUCAAAAUUCACUUGCAUAACUUGUUCACGCUGAAAGAACUUAUCAUUACCGGCAACAUGCCAAUUCGACUAUGGCUAACCAAUCACGCUUCUUCCAAUUUGUCAUUGAUUUCCAUAGAAACAAUGAUAACCCCAUUCAACAAUAAACACACUCCAUCCGCACUCUUCCCGAGUGACUUGAAUUACGAGACCAUGCUGCCUCAAAUCCCACGAACCAUUUCGUACCUCCUAAUUGCUACAUCGCAAGUCAAAACAUCAUAAAACAUUCUAUGCCUCUUCUCAUGGGAUGCUAUCAAGCUUUAUUCUUAACCAUACCCAUAGGUUUGAAAUCGUUAGGCAUCACACUUUAUCCUUUGAAUUCACUAGGACCGUUGUUGGGAGCCACCCGCUCUGACUUGGCCCCGGAUAUAAUCAAUUCCAUAAAUCUUCUAGCACAUGAAUACCCCAUUGGUGAAGCACCUAGUAGAAUCUUUCCCUUGGAAUCCACAUCUUUAUAAAGCACAAUCCUGAAUCCUUCCCCAAGUCUGAACAUGGGCCAAUAAGGCCAACGAUACACCACCUUUAAUAAUUCCUUUGCUCAAUUUACCACCUAUGUUCUUUUCGCGUAGCUGAGAUAACCCAUCAAUAUUCUAAUAGUCAGAAAUCCCGCGAGUAAUUAACCAUGCAACCCCAUCAUAGGCGGUGGGACUCUCCCACUUAGCUCGAAGCCACUACUACACAACUCUGGAAUUUACAAGGAUUUUUAAUCUUAUAUUGACAGAACCUUGUUCAAUCAACCACCAAAAUUCUCGAUAUCUUACUGUGGAAACCCCCUUUUUAUACUCUAAAUCAUCAACAACAUUCGCAUGACCGAUCCAUUUGCUGUAUAACCAUUAGAAUUCUUCGCAGAAGCCUCACCAAGUAUGUGAUGGCUAACCUGCUCACAGGGAAUAAACCCACCUAUGGAAAUCACUUUCCGACAUCUUCAAACGUUGUUGCACAAGGUCUAAUCACCAUGAUAUCAAUAACCCAUCCUGAGUCCGAGCUAAUCCCUCUAGCUGCAUAAGUCCUUUCAGCCCUCGUGGGCAGCAAUUAAAUGUAUGGCAGCAUGCUUACCAUUCAAAGUUACGUUGUAUCCUUCUUCAUUUCAAUCAUCUCCUUUCCGUUAUACCAAGUCUCCUACCGCAUAAUAGCCUAUUCUUCAGAUUGAAUCUGUAUACCCCAAUCACCAAUCACUAAUAUUCUCAAAUCCCUCUGAAAUAUCCUUAAGGCGCUCAUCCUACCACCAAGACCCUAUGCAGCUCCGCUACUCUCCUACUUUGGGAAAACUAAUUUCUUUAAUCAACUACUCGACUUGCGCUUCUUAUACCUAGUCUUCUAGAAGUUUUAACCACCGCAUGACACUUCCCAGAUGUCCUUCUUCAUACUUUGCUGCUCUUGCAACCUUAAAUAAAUCCAUCUUAGUAGCACUUGAACCCAUGAAACGCUACUAACCUUAAACAUUUCCGAAGAUCAUGUUUCUCGAGCCGACAACACUAGGAACACCGAUUCAAUCCUGCAUCACCGCACCCCGCGAUAUCUAACAGUCAUUUCUUUAAUAUUGACCCGCAAUAUCCUACUCUAGAGGCGAAUUGUAGAAGAUAGUAACACUGGUGAACUUAGUACCUUCAAUAAGGACAACAACGCCUCAUCAUAGAAGAAAACUCCACCACACUUGAAAAUACCAAGUCUCGUUCCCCCCAUCAACCCAAACCUAAACAUUCUCAGCCUGACUGCCUUUCCCCUACCGGGAAUAGAAUACCAAAUCUCUAGAUCAUGCACUGACUAAACCUACCUUCAAGUCAUUCACUACCCCGACACGUAGGCGAAUAUCCUACCAUUAUAAUAAUACUGCGGAAAAGUUCUUCAUAAGCAUCAUGGAAACUUGUGCCUAACCUCAAAGCUCUCAGAAGUACAACUACUGAGCCAAAAUAACAGAAUAUCCCUCCACAAGGCAAUGAUAAUAGCUCAAUAACCCCGCAGGGAGAACCACCCGCACCAUAUUCGUAGUGCCAUUACAAUUCUUCAAUUCUCGAUUUAUGCGCUUCGUGUAUCAUAAGAUUGAGAAGGAAGGAAACAAAGGCAUAAGCCUCACGAGAAGUCAAGUCUUACGAUAAGGAAUAAAGAAGGGAAGUACUCCUAAUAGUCGUGCACCCCCCUGAGAAUAAGAACAGACGUCUCCAUGCCGAUCCGCGAGACUCUACUAGACAUGCUCAUGACUUGUGAGACCCUAGGAACCUAGUGCUCUAAUACCAUGUUGUAACGAUACAAAAACCUCUAAGGUUCGUGGUGGCGCCGGACACGCUGUCAGGAAAGCCAACUGAAAUACUUAAUUAAAUUCUAAUUUUAAUAUUUGCUGAAGUCAGGUCGUGGUGGCACCAUAUACCGCUGUCUAGCAAGCCAACCAAAAUACUUAAUUAAGUUCCAAUUUUAAUAUUUGUUGAAGUGAUUUUUCCUUUAUACAUUAAAUAGCAAAUAAUUAACUAUACAUAAAUAACCAUGGAGUCUUUAACAAACUUAAUAUUGAACAAUCCUAUAACCAUCCCAGAACCGGGUGUGACAAGUGCGUGAGCGUACACUAAGAAGGAAAUAAAAAUAUAACAUCCAUCCAAAAUACAGUUGACAGAAAGUAAAUACAAUAUAUUGGAAGGGACUAUACUAGCUACGGACCGCCUCGAACAAUGCAACUCACCUAGUCUCCGAAUCAUCUGUGCUGCUACGCCCAAUAGGCCUCUAGUAACACAUGAACAUGUGCAACAAAAAUGCACAGAAGUGUAGUAUGAGUACGAAAACAACGUGCACCCAAUGAGUAUCCCGUCUAAUUUCGAAGAAGUAGAGACGAGAGGUCAACUUCGACACUUACUAAGGGUCCAGUAAUGUGAUGAUAAUAAUACAUUAAAUCGUGAAUUUCUAUAAACAUGAUUUUUAAUCCAAUAGAAGGAAACAAGUAAACAAUUAUUUUUUAUAGGAUUUCCAUAAUUCCUUUUUCAUUAUUUAUCCAAAUAAUCUCAAGCCAUGAAGAGACAAUAACAACUUUAAUAAGUCCAAGGCAGCAAUACAAGCAUGUGCAAAUCAUGCCGAGGUCUACGGCCCGCUCCAAUAGAAAAUAAAUUGUGCACUGCCGAGGGUUGAAUGGCACCAAUCAUAGAUACAUCUAUUUAAUCUGCCUAGGCUUUCGGCCCGCUCCAACAGGAAAUAAACACACAGGGAAUCAAUCAAGAAGUCAACAUGGAAAAUUUUUCCGAAGGAAAAUAAUUCUCAUUAAUAAUUUAAGAAAGUGAAGUUUAAAUCCUAUUAGAAAUUUGUUUACUAAUUUAAUGAGAUUUAAGCAAGUCAAGUUGUCAAUAAGUUUACAGUUAAUCCAAGUAUCGCAUGCUUUUGGGUCCUAACUACUCGGACAAUGGCAUAAUAGUAGCUACGCACGGACUCUUAUCACCUCGUGCAUACAUAGCCCCCACAAUUAGGAGCGCAUAACAGAUUAUUUCACCUAUGGGGACAAUUCCCUCUUACAAGGUUAGAGACUCACCUCGCUCCGAAGUUUCAUAACCGGCAUUUCACGACCUUUUGAAGACUCAAAUCGAAGCAAAAAUGCUCCAAAACUAGCCAAUAAUUAUAUAAACCCAUUAAUAUAUGCUAAGGUACUCAUUAUAAUCCAAUUUACAACAAUUCCCAACCCCGAUCGAAGAGUUGACGAAAACUCCCUAGGGCCCACGUGCCCGGACUUCCAAACUUUUCGAAGAAUAAGUUUACCCAUAACCUCAUGAACUCAAAUAUAUGAUUUACGCUUAAUUUCAUACCCAAAAUUGUGGUCAAAUUCCAAGAACAUCAAUAUUCUACCAUUAUAAUAAUACAAUUAUAUAAACCAAUUAAUAUAGGCUAAGGCACUCAUUAUAAUCCAAUUUAUAACAAUUCCCAACCCCGAUCGAAGAGUUGACGAAAACUCCCUAGGGCCCACGUGCCCGGACUUCCAAACUUUUCGAAGAAUAAGUUUACCCAUAACCUCAUGAACUCAAAUAUAUGAUUUACGCUUAAUUUCAUACCCAAAAUUGUGGUCAAAUUCCAAGAACAUCAAUAUUCUAGGUUUUCAUCUAAACCCCUUGAGUUUCCUUAAACUUUUACAUGUUAAUCUACCCAUAAUCUAUGUAUUUAACGUAAGAUGCGUAGAAAUUACUUACCUCUUUGAUGAUGGAGGAAUCUCUCUUCAAAUUCUCUCAAAAAUCGCCUAAGGCCAAGUGGAAAAUGAGGGAAAUGGGCAUAGUUUCGAAUUUAAUAACUAGACACAACUCUCAGAUAUCGCAUUUGUGACACCUGGUUCGCAAAUGCGAUAAAGACAUCAAAAAUGCGAACGUGGGCCUCCCCUUCCAAGCUCGCAAAUGUCAACCCUGCCUUAGGCCAGGCUCCUUCGCAUGUGCAAAUCCUCACUCGUAAAUGCGAGAUUGCGAACCGUUUCUCGCAUUUGUGAGGCCUGCAACUGCUGCCAAAAAAUACCAUAAAACAUGGGGUGCUCUAACUCCUCCCGCACAUCAGAAACUCAGCCGAGGCCCCCAAGACCCCGUCCAAUCACACCAACCCACUUCAUAACAUAACACGAACCUGCUCGAGGCCUCAAAUCAUACCUAACAACGCUAAAAUCAUGAAUCAACCUCCAAUUCAAGCUUUAUGAAUUUUAGAACUUCAAACUUCUACUUUCGAUGCCGAAACCUAACAAAUCAUGUCCGAUUGGCUUCAAAUAUUGCACACAAGUCAUACUUGACAUUAUGGACCUACUCUAACUUACGGAAUCGAAUUCCAACCCGUAUAUCAAAAAGUCCACUUCUGGUCAUACUUCUCAGAAACCAUCAAAUUUCUAUCUUUAGCCAAAUGGCUCCAAAAUGACCUACGGACCUCCGAAUUUAUUUCCGACUGCGCUCCUAACUCCAGAAUCACAACAUGGUGCUGCUCCCAGACCCGGAAUCCCAAAUGGACAUCGAUAUCACUGAAAUGCACUUCACCCAAACUUAUAAAAUUUCUUUCAAAAUGCUACUUUCUACAAUAGGCGCCAAAACGCUCCCAGGUCGUCCAAAACUCGAUCUAGGCAUAUGCCCAAGUUCAAAAUCAUCAUAUGAACAUGCUGGAACCUUCAGAUCCUGAUGUCGAGGUCAUUUACAAAAAAUUCCAAUCCUAGCUAAUUCUUUCAACUUUAUGCUUGCGAAAUGAGAAUUCUUUUUUCAAAUCAACUCUGAACUUCCUGAAGCUUAAUUCCGAACACGCGUAGAAGUCAUAAUACCUUCAAUAAAGUUGUUCAUGGCCUUAGACUACUGAACGAUGUGCUACAGUUCAAUACGACUUAUCGAGUCGUUACAACUUUUGGGGUUUAUUUAAUCCAAAAUUGCCCCACAUAUGCCACCUAAUUAUCAGGACCAAAGAGUUUGAAUUACUUCAAGGUCUUGUUGCCAUGUUGGGAGAUUUAAUUCUUAUUCAAAUAUUUGAAUAAAUUAUACAUUAAUCACUUGAUUAACUUGUUAAUCUCUCAUUAACCAAUAAUUUACUAACGUUCCACAUAAAUUAAGAAUUAUCUCAAAUUAUUUAAAAUACUACCAACCUUUACCAUACCUUAUACACCUUACUAUCAUGGUCAUGUGGUACUUUGUAUGGCACUAGUCCAAAAAUACGCAAUAUUAUAGUCUGAAAUCUAGGAUGGGAGCCUUUCGUGCCGAGACUAAUGAGAUGUGCUCAUCACCAGGCGUGAUAAAGCUACACUCUCCGAGCUCAAAGACCUCGAGAAUUAUGGCAAAUGGUUAUGCACCACUAACAGAGGGCUUUGAUAGCCGUACCUAACUGGAUAUCAUAGCGCAGAUCUCACCUGAUAUCGGUUAUGUGUAAGUAAUUAAUGAUAAAGGAGGAUUUUACCUUUUUUAGACGUGUACUAGGAAUGAAACUCUCCUACUAUAUAAAAGGGAAGUUUUACUUUGAUAGCAGACAUUGUAACAUGAAAACUAAGGCAUUGCAAAUUUAUUUUUCUGCUUUCUAGCUAUUGCAAAAUUCUUACUUUACUGUUUGCUCUUCAUUCACAAUUGGCUUCGAUCAAGUGUCCGAUCAAGGACAAAACUACUGUUCAACCUAAGUUCGAGUUGGGACAUAAUAUUACAAUUGGUUUCAUUAUUUAUUUUGUCUUUAACGUGUUUAUCUAAUAUUUUUAAUUAUUAGUGUUGAAUCAAUCCACAUAUCCUUAAAACUGCGUACAAAUUUAAUUAUUAUUUGUUUUUAGGGUAAACAAACUCAUAUACCAACGAGAAAUCCAUUUGGAAUUUCUGCAUUGCAGUUGCUGCAAGAAUUAUUCCUUCUGAAAUUAAGAAAGCUAUGAAAAACGUUCUCAACGGAGUUGCCGUGUGCACUAUUCAUGCUAAAAUUAGGUGUUCUGAUGCACAAUCGGACUCCAUUAGGAUUGAAUUUAAACAUACUUUUAUGAUUCAAAGCUUAUGGAAUUAUCUUAGCUAGGGACGUCUGAAAUAUUUGUCCCCCGGGGCUUAAUUUUUGGUAAAACUAAAUGGCCAAUUUUGAGAGGUCAAACAUGUCUCUAAUUAAUUAAUGUAGAAACCUUCGAAAAAACUGGCUUUAUUAAUGUCAUAUUCGACUUGUAUCCAUUACUAAGAAUUUAAGAAACAGUGAAGGACCAGUGAGUUCAUUGAAUAUGGUUCUAUAUUUUAAGUUCUAUGAGGUUGUUAUUUUGCUUAACUUUAUUAGAAUUAAGUUAUAUAGUGAGUGUUUAAUCAAAAAAUGGAUUCUCGAUCAAAGUCAAUAUUAAAAGAAAAUCAGGUUGCUGAUAAUUAAAAUUUACUUUACUUUUCCGAUAAUAUGUAGAAUAAAUCAAGGAUUAAAAAUAAUUUACUUCACUUUACUAGUGAGAUUUCAGUCUUUAUAUAUGAGUAUACAAUUAUAACGGUUUUCCUAUCUAAUUCGGACUCACAAAUGGUAUUAAUUGCCUUGAUUACUUUUACUAUUUACGACUAUAACGAAAAUAUUUAUAACUAAAUAUUUCUUGCAACCAUACCGAUAUCCCGUCCUUAUUUAUGACAUGUUCGGCAGUUUCCCUUCUUUAAAGCCUUUAUUCAUUUCAUUCUUGUUUUUCUUUUUAUAGCUAUCAGGUCUGGCUUUUUCCUCAAUGUAAUCCCAUGAGUAUUUCUCUCGUGCCUUUUCUGCACUCUUCAACUCAUAUAAUUAGGAAUUCCACUUUUCACCAUAUGGAUGGUCUGCAUACCAUGCCAUAUCACUGUGUUGAUAGUCCGCGUAUGUAAGGCCCCGAAAAAUUUCGCUAAGUAAUUUAGGAUUUUGUAGUGUCACGCAGGCUUGUUAUAAUGCUUUUAUAUACUAUUAACAUGGUGGACAUAAAUUAUUUAGCAAAAGUUUCUGGGGCCUUAUAGUNNNNNNNNNNNNNNNNNNNNNNNNNNNNNNNNNNNNNNNNNNNNNNNNNNNNNNNNNNNNNNNNNNNNNNNNNNNNNNNNNNNNNNNNNNNNNNNNNNNNNNNNNNNNNNNNNNNNNNNNNNNNNNNNNCCAAAUGGGAAAAUUUUUGAAAUAGGCCAAAAUUCCAAAUGGAUUCGCACAAGGCUCCACUUUAAACUAGAAUAUAUAAUUAUGUAUAAGGUUUAUGUGGUGAAUAGCAUAUCAAGUGAAAGCCCCUUGAGUCUAAUUUCCAACGCUUCCGACCGUUUGUCAUUUGGACAUUCCUACACAAAGUUAUUGUCAAAUUACCAAAGGUUGGAAAUUGAUAUCCUGAGUCAAUUAUGCGAUCGUAUUUUGGAUCGCAGAAUGCACUCUGCGGUUGCAUUUGGCCGCAUUUUGAACCUGAGAAGCCCAGUUUUGGGCAUCGAUUCUACGACGCAUUCUGCGGACCGCAUGUCGAUUCUGCGGUCCAUUCUGCUAUAGCAGAAUCGACAUCGUGGGAUAUUUUUGUUAUUUGCUAAACCCGACCCCCUAUUGUUAUAUUUGACCCUAUAACUCAUUUUAAGCAUUUUUCUGAGUAUUUUUAGAGUGAGAGAGAGGGGUAUUAGAGAGGGAAAUUUUCUCCCAUCAAAUUUCUCCACAAUAUCAUGUUAAUUCCUUGAAGAUAAUCAAGUGAAAGCCCUGGUUCUUCAUCUAAGAGGUAAGAUUCUAUGCCCUAGGUUCUAAUUUCGAGUUUAGAGUAUAUGAUGGGUUCUUGAGGUGUGAUUCUUGGGUAUUUUAGUAUUGUGUAUGCAUGCAUGUACAACUUAGGUUUAUGGGAAGAUUGUUCAACAUAGAUUAGUAAAGAUUGGGUUAAGGAAUGAAGGAAAUCUUAAAAAGAGCAUUUGAAGUCAAGAUGCUCAACUAGCGUUCGAUAAAAUGCUCAAACGAGCUAGUUUCAUGAAUAUCUUCUAAGAUGUGUUUAAUUUUGUUAUGUCUCAUAGAAGAUUGGAAUUGCUAGAGUUUUUGAAGUGUUGUAGUAACUUAAGGAAAGCUCAAUCGAGGUAUGUAUUGCUAACUGUGAUCCUUGUGAAAUUUCCAUAUGCUAGUUGUGAAAUUGUUGACAGUUGAUAUUCAUGUGAGAAUCAUCGUGAAGCUUAUGUGUUGUAUGAUUGUGUGGUAACAUUUUGUGAUAAAUGUUGUGGAACUCGUAAUUGGAAUAACGGAAAUGGAAAUAUUGUAGAAUAGUGAUAAUGGAAACAAUGUGGAACAAUGGAAAUGGAAAUAAUGUGGAACAAUGGUAAUGGAAACAAUGUGGAACAAUCGAAAUGGGAAUAAUGUGGAAAAAUAAUGUGGAAUAGUGGUAAUGGAAACAAUGUGGAACAAUUGAAAUGGAAAUAAUGUGGAACAAUGGUAAUGGAAACAAUGUGGAACAAGGAAAAUGGGAAUAAUGUGGAACAAUGGAAAUGGAAAAAUUGUGGAACAAUGUGUGUGAUUAGUUUGAAUAACUGUUGUGAUGGUCUAAAUUGUGUAUCAAUUUUGAUAAACAUAAGGAAAUUGUUGUUGCUAGUUGUGGGAUUUCAAUACCCUUGUUGUGGAAUUAUUCUAACAAUGUGCCAUGGUUGAUUCCUUGUACUUGUUGUUGUGCUGUUUGUUGUCGUGAAUUGAAAACUAUCAGGCGGGGUCGGGUUGCACGCCGCAACAUGGUGAAAUAAGGUGUGGGUUGGGGUGAUAAGGGUAGCCGAGGUAAUAAGGGUGGACGAGGCAAUAAGGGUGGAAAAUGUGAUCCAAUAUCACUAUUGAUAUGAAUAUGAAUCAUGAAAUGAUAAAUAAGGAAUUGUGAAAGAAGACAGCAGGAGAGUUUGUAACCUGAGGGGCACAGAUUGCCCCUUUGUUUGACUACUUUAAUCAUUUGUUGUGGAAUGUUUGGUUGUUGUUUCCUGGUUGUACUUGUACUAUUGUUCUCCAGUUCUAUACUUGUUUAUGAAAUUUGGCUUGAGUUUACUUGGGACAGAGUUUGUUCAUAAAUACCAGUACAAUUUAAAUGUACUAAUGUCCCUUUUGUCGGGGGCGCUACAUUCGUGUUAUGAUUGUAGGUGGAUCCAUAGCAGGCACUCCAGUUAACCGACCGUAGCUCCUCAUCACUUUCCGUCAGCUAAUUCGGCGAGCCCCUUUUCAUUCGGGGCCCUAUGUGGCUCAUGCCACUUUUUGUUUUCUGAUCUUGUUUUGAUGUUGUAUAAGUAUAGCCGGAGCCUUGUUGCCGGAAUUUCCAUAAUAUUCUUCAAUUGUAUUUAGAGGCUUCGUAGACAGGUUGUGGGUAGUGUCGGGUAUGGUAAUUUAAAAGAUAAAUAUUGAUGUGUGGCAAUGUUUUAUAAAAAUUGGAAUACCUUUAUUAUGGUGAAUGAGGUUUCUAAUGGAAAUUGUUAUUAUUAUGUUUAUAAAAUUUGGUUAAUGGAGUCUAUAUCCUAUAAAUGGCUAUAUCACCUGGUUAUUAAGUAAUGAGAAUGAGGGGUAACACGUGGGAUAGGAAAGGCACCCAGGUCCGCUUGACUGGGGAUGCCCGGUCAUGUCCCUCGAAUUUGGGGCGUGACAAACCUGGUUCCUAACAUUUUAAAGUGUCCUAGGAUGUCUCGGAGCCAUAUCUAGUAGAGUCCUUCUUAUUGGUGUGUUGUCGACCACAUCUAUAAGUUGGAGGCUAUUUGGACAUUUAAGAAUUUUUCCCUUCUUUGAUAAUCUAGAUCGUGCGAUAUAGCUCAAGAUAAGGAUUAUUCUCAAGAUUGGUAAUUUUGAUACCAUAAUCCGCGAAUUUAAAGCUUGUAUGGAGGGAUUGGUCCUACCAUUGAGUCCAAGUGGAUUACCCAAGGACUUGUUAGAGGAAUAUGUUGAGCCGUGGAGAGAUUGGUAGAACUUGUUAUUAAGAGGAGUACCCUUGUUCCUACUAAUGUCACGGCACCACCAGAUCAUGUAGUAUAUUAUCGGUAUGUACGGUUAAAAUCCCGUCUUUUAGGAAUUAAGCUUCCAUGGUGCCCGCGUAAAUGUUGUAAGUUCAAAAUAUAAUUGAUACAAUACUCGUUUUAUUAUGUUAAGCGAAUUAUUAUUGUGAAAAUAUAUGUGGGAGGUACUUCUUCAUGUGUUUAGUAUAUUAUUCUUGGUAAAUGAGGAUAUGUAAAGAAUGUCAACUAUGUGCGAAAUGCCUAUGCUUCAAGUUAAGUUUAAAUUGACAUUUUGAUGCAAAAUUUUUGUGAGAAAACUUGUUAUGGUUGAUUCCUCCAUAAUGUUCUUAUGUUUACCAAAUGUAUUUGAUUGAUUGUGCCUAGUUGUUGGUAAUGUACAAAGAUGUUUGGAAGUGAAGUAAGUGAUGGUGUAAAUGUGGCAAGGCUGAAUGUUGGAUUCUUGUUGGGAUGAUAUUUUACAUGAUGGUGUUGUGAUCCUAUAAUUGUAAAAGAUGCAUUCCAAUAUGACCAAUAUGCUAUAGUUGACAACUUAAAAUGGGUGCAAGGAAUACGAAUCAUGUAUUGAAAUGUGAAGGCCUUAAAUUGAAAUUAGAGCAGCAUAUAUUAAAUAAAACUAUGUGAAAUCCUUUGUGUAUAGAAAUGUUGAAAUAAGUCAAAUGAUUUUGAGAAAUAGAGUAUGGACAAUGUGUCGAGAACUCGAAAUGAAAUUAUACCCGGUGAUACUUGUGACAUGAGGGAAUAUGGAACAGAUUACGAUGUUGGUGUGAAAUAUGUAGAAAUAAUGUGAAAUGCGGGAAAGAAGAGGAUGUGUUAUGAAAUGUGGCCUAGUGCUUGUGAUAAAUGUGGCCCCAAGAGCAGAUGGACUAAUAUACGUAAAAAUGGUAUGAUUCUUUUACUUAAUAAUGUGUUGAUCAUUUAAAGUGUUUGAUUCGUACUUGUGAUUUCGUUAUUAUUGUAUGAAGCGCAUAGGUGUAUAACUGAUAUGUGAACAGGGCUAUGAAAUGCAGCCUAGAGGUAUGGAAAUUAUGUGAAAACUAUGUGAUCCAUUCUAUUUGGUAAUGUGGUGAUUGUUUAAACCUUUUUGUUAGACCAUUAUAACUUCCUUGUCCUUGCAUAUUUGUUCGUAAAAAGAAUCUAAAUUACAAAACAUUUCAUGUACCAUCAUAUAGUUUGUACAUGUGGUUUCGAGUUCCAUGCGAAGUAUUCAAGAUCUGUGAUCCUUCUCGAGUCACUCUUUUACUCAGUUGUGUAUAUGGCUUAUAUGGCUUAAACAACAAUUCCACUCUCUUGCAAGUAACAUCAUGAAAACCUUCUUACCAUCAAGUAACAUGAGAGCAUGCGUCAACACAUAUCCUACAAGUACCUAUGAAUUGAAAUAGUCACUAUGUUCAUACAGCUUUUCAGGAAAUUGAGAUCCUCACAUCCCAUUAUAGGAAGGUCUUGUGUCGCCAUAAUUUUCGUGUCCACUUGAGAUAUCCCGUAGUAAGUAGUUCACUUGGUUUCUAGUAUUAUAGUUGUCCGUAAUAUGGAAUUGUAUUGCAGUUUGGAAGUUAGUAUAGCAUAAGCAUUCCAACUCAUAACGACUGAUUAUCUUUUCUUUAUGUCUCCACAAUGCGUUUCUUGUAUUCCUUAUUUAGUGAAUUUCGUUGUGCUAGUACCCAAAACUUAUACGAUAACCAUGAGAGAAAAUUCCCCUCUAUGUGUCACUAUGACACCUCCUUUUUCUUUCUUCAAGUCAAAACCUAUGGAAAUCCCAUCAUGAACAUCUGCAAACCUUCAGUGGUUAUUGUGCACUGUCUCAUUGAGUUUGGUUUUAUUUACACCCUCAACUUCCGAAAUCCUUGACUAUGUCAUUGUCAUGUGCGGGGAGUAAUACUACCCUUGGCAUCUCGCCUUAUUGGCUGUAUAGGAGUAUUGUAUUCCUUAUCUCCGGAGCAUCAUGUUAACUAUUAGAAUGCGAGGAGUUAUACUACCUUUGGCAUCUCGCCUUUUUGGCUGUCUAGGAGUAUUGUAUUCCUUAUCUCCGGAGCAUCGUGUUAACUAUUAGAAUCAUCUAACCAAUUCAUGAUUUUGUCCCAGUAUCAAAAUUUUCUAGCUAUGGAGUUUCACUCGUGAAAGGUUGAGAUUAGAUGACUUCGGAUUUUUUCACAUAUCAUGAAAAUGUUGAUUUGAAUGACAAAUGGUCGUACUUUUAGUUUCCUCAUAUAUGACCAAUUACCAAGAAGUGUUAAGCUGUCUAAAAUAUGGUAAUCUCAUAAGCGUUCAAUUCUUUUCNNNNNNNNNNNNNNNNNNNNNNNNNNNNNNNNNNNNNNNNNNNNNNNNNNNNNNNNNNNNNNNNNNNNNNNNNNNNNNNNNNNNNNNNNNNNNNNNNNNNNNNNNNNNNNNNNNNNNNNNNNNNNNNNNNNNNNNNNNNNNNNNNNNNNNNNNNNNNNNNNNNNNNNNNNNNNNNNNNNNNNNNNNNNNNNNNNNNNNNNNNNNNNNNNNNNNNNNNNNNNNNNNNNNNNNNNNNNNNNNNNNNNNNNNNNNNNNNNNNNNNNNNNNNNNNNNNNNNNNNNNNNNCCAUGUCAGUAUUGUUAGUAGUAACCUCUUGUGUCUGUUAGUAUAUGACCUCAUAAAGUACUCUACUCAGCGCAUUAAUGGAUUCUUGAAUAACUCCAGCUUGAACUUGAACUCUGUUGUUUCUUAUUGUAUUAGAUCCAUUGGGUAUGGUAAGUUCAAACAAGUCAAAGAUAAAGCUUCAUAUUGUGAUUAUAUAUACAUAUAUAUUGGAUAGGUAAUUUUAUGGUCAGUUUACAAUAUCAAAUCUUAGAGUAACUAUUAAAUGUCAUCAAAGGUUUAGUGUGAGUAUCCCCCUGAAAAUGUUAUGUGUUGAUAAUAAAGGUAACAUAAAUGUAUUACACAUUAGAUUGCAAUAGGAGUAUGAUAUCCCCGUAAUUGUUUCUCAUGUACUUUGUGUUUCCAUAUGUUUAGGAAUUAAUUACAUUGAGUUAAUUGUGUUUAAAAAACAAACAAACAAAAAAAGAGAAAAGAAUCAUAAAAAAUGGUUAAUUUUGCACUUUUAAUUUUAGUCUUUGAAUUUCGAUAGUUCUUUGUUUAAUUUGAUAUUAAGUAGUUGCAAUAAGUAUUAGUUGUAGUAACUAGUUUAAUUUGAAAAUAAUUUGAUUAAGAAUUAAUUUAGGUGUUAUUUUAAUUUAAAUUUAAAAGAAAUUAGAAAAAUAUGAAAACAAAAUAGGUGAAUCAUAUUUUUGGGCUGAUAUUAACUUCUAUUUUUAAGCCUAAUGGAAUUUCUAAACUAACCUAAAUCAACCUCCACCCAACCCCAAACCGGAUUGACCCGAUCCAACCCAAUACCCAAACUCUAUCUUCCCACCUAAAAACCUAAUACACGUACAAUACACAAGAUAGAGGCCUGGAAAUUUCUCACCGCAUCUCUUAUCAUCAUCUUCAACACAAAUGGAAAACAACAAACAAAAACUCCAAAAUAGGAACUGAAGAAUGACCUUCCACACGGAUACAAAGCAGCCAUCACUCAUCUCCCCCCGCCGUAAAACACUUAACACACAGCCACACAUACGCGAGAGAACGGGAAGCUGCAUCUGCUUCAUGAAGUCAGCCGAAAUCACACAUGAGACCUUUCUUUUUAUGUAACAAAAUGACAGAUGCUAAGACUUAAGGCACACAACCAUUUCUGAUUUGAGAACACAACACCCCUCCUCGUCUCUGUUUCCUCUUCUUCACUUCACAACCAAGAAAGUUCUUUCAAUACAACGAACCAACCAAACUUUAACUCCAAAUCGCUAUCCCAUGUCAUGGAGUUUGCCGAUUUUGUUUUUCGGGUUUAGUUUGAGUUCUCCGCCGAGUUUCGAGGUGUCGAGGGUCGUUUGAGGUUGUUGCUGGUUUUCGGUUAAGGUUCGGAUUCCAAUCGUGUAAUAAAGUCAAGCUUUUUGAAAUACAGAGCUCCAACUUUGAUGGUGCAUUUUCUAUUUGCCUUCUCUUAUCCUGUUUGGAAAGGUCAGGUAUUCCUCUGUCUCUUCAUUUUACUUCACUGUUAAGGUGUUCUUUAGCGUGAGUAAUUGGAAAAUUGAAAGUUUUAAAUUUCAGUUUAUUCUCCGGGAUGAAUCGAUUCAUCUCUGGCUUCUUAUACAUUUUGCAAAGCAUGUUUGCUGAUAUUAAUCCUGUUCUAAUGGAUCUUAUAAUCCUCUUUGACUUGUCUACGACAAGUACUUGCAAUGUAUGCAAAACAAAAUGACAUAUGGGAAUUGAGAGGCAUGGGAAUUGAGAGGCAUAGAUUCUGCUGUAUAUUUUAAUGUCAGCCAUGUUCUAUAUUUGACGUGAAGAAUCCAUUAGCUUAACUGACAAGAUUUCUGAUAACAAAUGCCAAACUGUUUUGUUUUUGUUAUAAUUGAAAAGGCUUUCUACGAUGUCAUGUGCUCUUUGACUUUGGGUGAAGUUUAUAACUAGUUUUUGUAGUCAUAAUACUUCUUUUAGCAGAAUAUUUGCAUAUUAUUUAAUAAAAAUGACAAACCAUAGCUUUGCCUUACGAUGAUUUUACUUUAUUCAGGGUUGGACUUGCAGUAAUUGUUCACUUACAACAAGUUUGACAUGAUUCUUCUUUAGUUGUAGUAAUGGCUCUUCAUACUUUGCUUCAUGCAUAUAAUUAGUUUAUCACGAUUACGAGUACGAUUUUCGUGACAUAGCUGUUGUGCUAAAUUUUAAAUUAGCUUUAAGUAUGAGUAUCCAUAGCUAUUAAAAUUAGUUGAAUAGAUUUAGGGCGUGUCGUACUAAGUAAGAUAUAGUUAUGGCCCUCCGGAGUUUAGCUCGAAUUCCUUUUAAAAUUGGAAUUGAGGCAUGCUGUGCCAAAUAAAAUCUCAAAUGCAACGCCGUCGUUUAAAUUAUUCUUGUUUAUCCUUAGAUUCUGAGGCGUGCCAUUUAGCGAAUUUCAUGGCCCUCGCAAAGUGGGAACGUGUAGUUGCUUUAGGCACGUGUUUAAUAACAUUAAUUUCCUAAAUUCGGGUGCACAUUUAUGUGACCCAAAUCCGAAUCCCAACAAAGUUGAAAUGUGUCAAAAAUCACGGGUGCAUUUAUGUGACGUGGUUGGAGGCAUGUUUUAACGAUGUUGCAAUUUUCUUUAAUAAUAAAAGUUGUUAAAAGAUUAAAAAAAUGCACAUAGGUUCAUAAUUGUAUAAAAAUCAGAUAAUUUAAGCCAAAUAUAACAGUUGAGCGACCGUGCUAGAACCACAGAACUUGAGAGUGCCUAACACCUUCUUUCGGGUUAACAAAAUUCCUUACCCGGAUUUCUGCUUCGCAGACUGUUAAACAGAGUCAUUCUUUCCUCGAUUCGGGAUUCUAAACGGUGACUUGGGACAUUAUAAAUCUCCCAAGUGGCGACUCUGAAAUUCUCUUAAAUAAUUUAAUCCCGUUUCGAUUGUCCUUUAAUUGGAAAAACUCCCUUAUCUACGCCCUACGCCGGAUCGUAGUAACAAAAAGGAGGUGUGACAAGCACAGUAUGAACUAUGGCUAGCUAAUGCAAAAUGAUAAACCUAACGAGCCAUCUGAGUGGGCCUAUAAGGACGGCCCCUGCUGUGGUAGGAUUUCCACCCAAAAGGAAGACCGCCGAAACCACCCGAAUCAUGAGGCCUUUUAUCCUCUCUCUCUCCCCAUGCUCCUGACUAUGGACCAACUCUAGCCAUCAAGUGAUGUCAACCACCUCGUCAAACCUAGCACCUGAUGUAUUCUCCCGAGUCAUAAAAAAAUGCAACUGAUAGCUAAGGCCAUCAAUUAACCUCCUAAUCCUCUCCCUCUCUAUGAGAGCCAACCAGAUCGCAUGACGAGCCAAUUCUGAAAAUCUCAUCUCGUAUUGGGUCACCUACAUUCCUUCAUAGCAUAGCUUCUCAAACUGUAUAUGCAACUCUUCCCUACGGGUUGGUGGCACAAAUUUCUCCAAGAAAAAUGGCACAGUAUCGGCUGGUCCUGCUCUGCUCAUAGGCCCUCCAACAUUUAAAUCCCGUCAGCUGAAAAGUAGUAAAUGAGGGCCCAAUAGUUUACAAAAUACCUUUAUGCGAAGAUUCCGCAGGCACCUAUCCAAGAAUUCCCGAGCAUCCUUAAACUCAGGCCCACUAAAUCUUGGAGGCUUGAACCUCCAAAAUCUCUCUGGUCCCAUAUGCUCCCCAUCACCCAAACAGGACCCACCUGGGUUUGAGUAAAUGCAACCGGUUGGGCUGACAAUACCCCCCCCCCCCGUGUUCGAAGUCCCUGCACUACCUGCUAUAGAGUACAGGUGGCAGGAGUCUGAGCACUUCCCCCAACUUGAGAAGUAGAUGGCGUGGUUAGAACUGAAAUCGAUAGAGCAAGGCUAGUGCAACCAGUUAAUAUAUGAGCCAAAGCCUUGUGGAGGCCUGGAAUCAUAAUGGGCACUGCUGAUGGCUGAGCUGGCCCCACCGCCUCAACCAAAUCUAGAAUCAGCUCCCGAACUGGAGCAACUAGUGGGUCUAUAGGUGUUGUUCGAGCUGCACCUUAGCCUCUACCACAACCCCGACCUCUUGUGGCCCUAGCUGGUGGUACUGGUGCACCUCUACCUUAUCUGGUAGCACGUAUCCUCAACAUUUAUGUGAGAAUAGAGUAUAGAAGUUUAGUUCCCAAAAUUAACAAAUUUGCACGACCAAAUAUAAGAAAGUGAAGUGUUCCUAAGGGUUAAGCAACCUCUCAAAGAUAAACAAACGUCUCCAUACUGAUUUGCAUGACUCUACCACCUACAAGCUCCUGAUACCUGUGUAACCUAGGCUUUGAUACCAACUUUUCACGACCAAAAAUUUAUCAUGAUGUGAUCUUGCCUAUCACAGAACUAGGCAAGCCAACAUUUACGACAAAUCUAGGAAUUUUGUAUUAAUAAUAAGAUGAAGAUAGUUUAAUAGUAAUAACUCUCAUAAAUAGCUGAUAUAAACAGUUGCGACUUGAAUACAAUUUUCCCAAAACCCCAGUGUCACUGAGUACAUGAGCAUCUAUUCAAUAACAUAGUCUGAAACACCAUCUAGGAAGGUAGAUUAGUACAGUAAAACUAAGAUAUAGAGGAUAAGAGUCAAGGUCUAUGGACGUCAAAAAAGCUACCUCGAUGAUCUCCAAAUGAGCAAAAACUUCAAGUUCAGCAACCAUCGUGCCAAAAAACACCGAGAUAUACACACUAAGUACAGGGUGUAGCGUAAGUACAACUAACUCAAUAAGUAACAAGUCAAACCUUUAGGCUAAAAAAAGUGAUGAUCUCAACCAAUACAUCAAAAAUAUAGACUUUAACAAUAUAGAAAAUGUAGACAUGCUUCCAAGAUUAAUGGUUUAGUUCAACAUAGAAAAAAUAUACCAAGUGUGACUAAUAUGAGGAAUAUGACAUCUCUAUAUCUUUUUGCCAAUAUGAAUUAUGUGAUGCAACACAAUGAAUAUCUCAAGUACUCACACUCUCAUAGCACUCAAUCUGACUGUCCCAAUUCUUACUUGUCAUACUCAGUCAUUCUACAUUAUACAGUACCUGUUGCGGCAUGCAACCCCAUCCACAUAUAGCCAUAAGGCAUUUUGUGAUGCGCAAUUGGAUCCACAUAUAGAGAUAAAGCUUAUUGCGGUAUGCAACCCAACCACAUAUAGCCAUACGGCUUGUUGUGGUGUGAAACCCGAUCCACAUAUAUCCAUAAGGUGUGUCAGCGUGUGACCCGAUCCACAUAUCUCUCUCACAACAUAGCUAUUAGAUCCUAACUCAGUCAUCAAUCUCUCCAGUCUCUCGUGCUCACCUCACUCAUGUUAAGAAGCCUAAAUCAAUUAUACAUGAUGUAAUAAUAAACGAUACAAAGACUGAGCUAUAAAAUGCAAUGAUGAAUGCGACUGAGUAUGUAACUGUAAUUAAAGAAAAUAAUCUAAACAGCAAAAGAACGACCACUAGGGGUCCUACUAGUACCAACUUAUUACCUAAUCAUGAUUUCCAACAUAACUCACAACUUAACUGCUAUAACACAUAGAGUACAAUAAUAAUAUUCAGAUAAUGUGACUACAAAGUCCCACAAAAUAGACUAAAACAUAAUUACUAUUGUUCACGCCCAUACGCCCAUCACCUAGCAAAAGAACGACCACAAGAAGUCCCAAUAGUACCAACUUAUAGCCUAAAUUUGAUUUCAAAAAUAAUUCACUUCUCAAGUGCUCUAACACAUAGUGUAUAAUGAUAAUAUUCGAAUAAGGUGACAACAUAGUCCCACGAAAUCGACUAAGUCAUAAUUACUACGUGCACGCCCACAUGCCUAUCACACAGUAUAUGUGUCACCUCAACAAUGAUCGCAUACCAUAAAAUUCAGGUAUUCAUAGCCUGAGAACAAAGUUUAGAAGUGUUAACCUCAUACCGUGCAAAUCUCUACUCUAAUAAGCCUUUGCCUCAUGAAUCAACCUCUGAACGCCUCGAAUCUAGCCACAAAUUAUUUGAUAUAGUCAACUCAUGCUAUUGGAAUCAAUUCCAUAUGAAAAUUCUAAGUUCUUAAUAAAAAAUCAGCUUAAAAAGUCAACUACAAGCCCAUGUCUCGAAAUCCAAAAAAGUUACAAAAUUCGAAUCCCCAUUCAACCACGAGUUCAAUCAUACCAAAUUAACCAAAUUCCAACACCAAAUCGUCACUCAAAUCCCAAAAUUUCACUCUCCAAUCCCUAGCCCAAAACUCCUAAAAUUUUGUCUUAAAACACAUAAACUAUGUGGGAAAUUUAAUGGGUAAUUAAUACUAUUGAAUAAAAAUGAUCAAUAGUGAUUUACCUCAAGAAAUCACUCAAAAUCCCUUUCAAAUAUCGCCUUAAUCUGAUCUUGUAAAGUACAAUAAUGAUUAAAACAUCGGAACCCUUCAAAUUUAAACAUUGUUAGGCGUUUCGCUUCUACAGACCUUUAAGCCGCUUCUGCGGUUACGCUUUCUAGUCGAAUCUCCCAUCUUUAGAGUUACACUUGAAACCCGACCUUGUGCACCUGCGGUCUCUAGCCCCUACCUGCGGGUGUGCUUCAGUGACAAAACUUUUGCUUUUGCGGACCUGCCUCGUCAGCCCCCUGCUCUUGGGAUGCUCCUUCCAUAUCUGCAACGUCACAAGUAUGGAACUCCCUUCACACCUGCACAAAUCCCCCAAUUCACCUCUAAUUUCAUCUGCGACACCUAUGGCUGCUUCUUCGGCUUCAUACCAAUAACAAAUCCUCCACAUGUGCGAUUGAACGAGAUAUUAGCAGUAACAGCAUACACCUAAGUCCAAUCUCCAAUUUGAUUCUCCUGGGGCCCCUAGGACCUCAACCAAACAUACCUACACAUCUCAAAACAUGAUACAAACUUAGCCGAGGACUCUAAUCACAUCAAACAAUACGAAAAAUAUGAAUUGUACCCCAAUUCAAGCCUACUGAAAACUAAAAAAUCCCAGCUUCUAAAAUUGAUGUCGAAACCUAUCAAAUCAAUUUCGAUUGAUCUCAAAUUUUUCAAAUAAGUUAUAGAUUACACAACAGACCUAUUCCAAAUUACAAAAACAAAAUCCAAGCCCAGUAACCACAACUUCAACUCUCGGUCAAGCCUCACAACUCUCCAAACUUCUAAUUAACCACACUCGCCAUUUCAAGCCAAAAUCACAUAAGGACCUCAUAAUCGCUUUCUUGACACACUUAUAAGUCCCAUAUCACCAUACAAAACUAUCAAAACCACAAAAAUGUCAUUCUGAAGCCAUUUACACAUAAAUCAAUAUUUGGUCAACUCUUUCAACAUAGACUUCCAACCAUAGAACUAAGUGUUCCAACUCAUUCUGAAACAUCACUGUAACCAGACCACCAACCUCGAAUAGUCACAUAGCAGCAAUUGAUCAAAGAAUAAGCAGUAAAUAGGAGAAAGGAGCUAUAACACUCAAAAAUUGGCCAAGUCGUUAUAGUUUGGUUACUCGCCCCGACACAAGCAUUGUCCUAGGACUUGAGUCCCUUGGGAAUUUUAAUGCAUUGGGGGAUUCAAAGGGAGGCAUCGACCUUGAUUAUAACUCCCCCUUAAGCCUCUAAUUCAUUGAAACUUUUGAUUCUUUAGGGGUUUAGUGUUUAGCGACAACAUAAAAACAUAUAUUAAUUAAUUUUACCUAUGGGGUUAAUUCCCUCUUACAAUGUUAGCAAAAAGACUUACCUCGUCUUCAAGCCUACUUUCCUGUCCAAGAUAGUGCCCAAACCCUCAAUUUGGUGCCAAACAACUCAAAACUAGUCAAAUAUUACAUAAAACAGUCAAUACAUGCUCAAUAGUUCAUAUCCUAACUAUCAAAGUGAUUUCCUAAGCCUAUUUUUAAAAUACCUAAAAUUCACCUCACCCAAUGUACCUAGAUUCUGGAAAUUGUUUAAGGAAGUUAUUACCUAUAACCCCAUGAACUCAAAUGUAUGAUUUUCACUUAAUUCCAUUACUAAUUUCGUGGUUUACUCAUUUUUAUCAAAAACCUAGGCUUUCAUCUAAAUCCUUGAUUUUCACUAAUUUAUAUACGUUAAUCUACCCAUAAUCUAUGUAUUUAACCCAUGUUGUGUAGAAAUACUUACCUUAAAGUGCUAGGAGAAAACCCUCUUCCAAAAGCACCAAAACUCAUCCAAGAGUGAGAGGAAAAAGCUAAAUGGUCUAGGUCAGCCAAUUAAUAAGAUGUGCACAAUUCUCAGAUGUCGUAUUUGCAACAUCUGUUUGCAAAUGCGAAAAUUCCAUCGCAAAUGCAAAGCAGAGCUUAUGCUGCCAAGGUCUCAAAUACGACCAAGGAGUCCCAAAUACAGACUUUACUGAGAUCCCAAAUGUGACCAUUGUGUUUCAAAUACGAACACUACCCAGGUCGGGCAUUCUUCGCAAUUGUGAAGCCCUUCUCGAAAAUGUGAGGUUCCGCAUUGGUGAAAAUUUUCUCGCAUUUGUAAGACCUACAACUGCUGCUAAGAAACAUACAAAAACUAAAGUGUUUAUCAUUCUUCCGAACGUUUGAAACUUACCCGAGCCAUUGGGGAUCCACACCGACCACCCAAAAAAAUCUAACAACACCAAAUGAACUUGCUUACACAACCGGAAUACUGAAAUAACAACAAAAAUAACGAAUGAGAUGCCAAAAUGCAUGGAUUAACUCUUGAACUCAAAAACUUCUAAAAACACUUCCGCGCAUCUGAUUCCUAUCAAAUCAACUCGGAAUGACGCUAAAUUUUGCGUGAAAGUCUUAAAUGACAUUAUGGACUUACUCCAAUUUUCCAAACUGGAAUACUAACAUGAUAUUAAAAAGUCCACCAUCGGUCAAAUUUUCCAAAAACUUCAAAAUUUUAACUUUCACCAAAUGAUCCUGAAACGACCUACAGAUCUCUGAAUCCUGUUACAGAUGUGCUCUUAAGUAGAAUCACCAUACUGAGUUCUUCCCAAGCUCGAAAUCCCAAAUGGAAAUCAGAACGCAAGCGUUGAGUCUUUCAUCGAAACAAAGAGAGAGGCCCAGCUGAUGCUUUUUUCUGUGUUAGCCAGGUGAAAGUAGAAUGUAAAAAUUCACUUCAUCUAAACUUAUGGAAUUCACUCAAAAUGUCAACUUUCACUAUUAGGCGCCGAAACGCUCUCGGAUCGUCCAAAACUUGAUUCGAACAUACGCCCAAAUCCAAAAUCACCAUACGAACCUACUAGAACCGUUAAAUCCUGAUUUCAAGUUUGUUUACUCAAAAUGUUAACCGAAGUCAAACUUAGCCUUUUAAACCAACCUUAAGGAAUCAAGUGUUCCGAUUUCAAUCCGAAUCCUUUCAAAUUCUGAACUAACCAUUCCCACAAGAUAUAAACAUAGUAAAGUCAUAUACGGAAAGUCUUAAUUAAGAGAACGUAAUUCUAGAAAGCAAACCAAUAGGUCGGGUCAUCACCACCACCGCCACCCACAACCCAACCACAACCCCACCCUCCAUCCUAAAUAAAUAUGUUAUUAAGGUAAUGUUCUUUUCAUGCUGUAGAUAAAGUAUUUUCUUUUCCAUUUCAACAAAAUGAAAUUUUCUAUUAUUUCAACAUAAAAUUGCUUUCUUUUGAAGAUGUAGAAGUAUUUUUUUUAUAUCAACAAAAUGAUGUGGUAAAAAGUAUUUUCUUUUAUUUUAACAAAAAAAUAAUUUAAUUUCAUAUUGUAGAAGAUUACUUUUUUUAAAAACCAAAAAAUAGUAUUUUUUGGGUUAUGGAGAAUAAAUUUUAACAUUGUUUUUACGUGAAAAAGGUAAAACAACACAUUAGUUCCUUUGGGUUUGUAUGAAAUUUUUUAAAGAAAAAAAUAAAUUUUCGAAGAAAAUAAAAUCCUCAAAACGUUGGGUAUUUGUGUUGGAGGUGGGGUGGGGGGAGAGCACAGAAAAAUUGGG
rnacentral:lncRNA from 1 species